UGUGAGGAGUCCCUGCUGCUGAGCAUGGAGGAAAAGCAGCGAUGCAGACUUGAUGGCAAAGAGACAGAUGGAUUGAAGUUCAUUUCCUUCAAUGGCAGUGACUUCAGUGAUCUGGUUUACAAAGAGAUCGCAAUGACAAAUGGUUGUAUCAACGGAUGAGUAAGGAGGAACUCAGAGCUAAACUUUCAGAAUUUAAGCUUGAAACAAGAGGAGUCAAGCAUGUUCUAAAGAAGAGACUGAAAAAUUAUUGCAAGAAGCAGAAGUUGAUGCUGAAAGGGAGCUCCACUGUGGACAGUUACUAUGACUACAUUUGUAUUAUUGACUUUGAGGCUACUUGUGAAGAGAGGAACCCAGGUAAGUUCCUACAUGAAAUCAUUGAGUUUCCUGUUGUUCUGUUGAAUACACACACCUUAGAAAUCGAAGAUACGUUUCAGCAGUAUGUGAGGCCAGAGGUCAAUGCUCAGCUUUCAGAGUUCUGCAUCGGUCUUUCUGGAAUCACUCAGGAUCAGGUAGACAGAGCCGAUGAUUUCCCUCAGGUCCUGAAAAAAGUGAUUGAAUGGAUGAAGUCAAAGGAGUUGGGAACUAAGUACAAGUAUUGCAUACUAACUGAUGGUUCCUGGGAUAUGAGUAAAUUCCUAAACACUCAGCAGGCUCAAAUACCCUUCCUUUACUAAAAAGUGGAUCAAUAUUCGAAAGUCAUACGGAAACUUUUAUAAGGUUCCCAGAAGCCAGACCAAACUAACAAUAAUGCUUGAAAAAUUAGGAAUGGAUUAUGAUGGACGGCCUCAGAGCGGUCUCGAUGACUCUAAGAACAUUGCUAGAAUAGCAUUUCGGAUGCAUCAGGAUGGAUGUGAACUUCGAAUCAAUGAAAAAAUAUUUGGAGGACAGCUGGUGAGUGUGUUCUCGUACUUACCAGUAGAGGGCGCUCCAUCUCCAUAGAUGCCACAUAGUAGAAAACUGCAGUUUGAUCAGUUGCUACAAAAGUAG